UCUCCCUUUCCUAGUCGCAAUAGGUCUUGGGGGUGCCAACUAUGGUCUAAUUUAAUUGGGUUCAAAUCUAAUUUCUUCCAACUUAAUUAAUGAGGAAAAAAUAGCUCUUGGCUGCCCAUAUUGCUUGCAAUUGAUUUGGUCCAAUCCUCAUCUCAUAAGGAUUCAAGUCCAAAGAGGAUUUUGGGUUUAUCAUGUGCUAUCAUGGUUUUCUAAAUCC
rnacentral:lncRNA from 1 species